rnacentral:rRNA from 1 species
AUUGAACGCUGGCGGCAGGCCUAACACAUGCAAGUCGAACGGUAACAGGAAGAAGCUUGCUUCUUUGCUGACGAGUGGCGGACGGGUGAGUAAUGUCUGGGAAACUGCCUGAUGGAGGGGGAUAACUACUGGAAACGGUAGCUAAUACCGCAUAAUGUCGCAAGACCAAAGAGGGGGACCUUCGGGCCUCUUGCCAUCUGAUGUGCCCAGAUGGGAUUAGCUAGUAGGUGGGGUAACGGCUCACCUAGGCGACGAUCCCUAGCUGGUCUGAGAGGAUGACCAGCCACACUGGAACUGAGACACGGUCCAGACUCCUACGGGAGGCAGCAGUGGGGAAUAUUGCACAAUGGGCGCAAGCCUGAUGCAGCUAUGCCGCGUGUAUGAAGAAGGCCUUCGGGUUGUAAAGUACUUUCAGCGGGGAGGAAGGGAGUAAAGUUAAUACCUUUGCUCAUUGACGUUACCCGCAGAAGAAGCACCGGCUAACUCCGUG